CGAGCUGAUGAUGAACAAACUUCGUAGGGUAAAAUCUGAUCAUUCCGACCAUGACGUUAUGGAAGUACUGCACCGAAAG
rnacentral:snoRNA from 1 species